rnacentral:lncRNA from 1 species
CAGAGAUAUUAGCAAUUGCCAGUAUGAAAGCUCUGCUGUACAUUAAAGGAAAAUAUCAUUAGAGCAAACAAGAAGGUUCAGAGAAAAAUCCCCUCAUUCCUGUAGAGUCUUCAUGUCAUUACUGACUUCUGCCCUUUCUGUAAUUUCUGAAAUAAGCUCUCAGUUUUUGUUUCAGCCUUCAUCCAGGUUUCCUUGCUAUAGUAUUUAUUUUUGCAGGGGUAAUGCCUUAUCUUUUCAAUUUUCCAUCAGCAGAGAGCUACAAUCCUGCAUCCUGUUUCCUAAAAGCCUGGCUCAUUCAGCUUUCACAGCAGCAGGGUUUGAUGCUGUGGAUUCAAACAGCAGGCUGUACCCAUGUGUCCUGGAGAGAUGCUGCACAGCCUUUGAGGUCUAGAGAUGUCUCCUGCUCACUCCGCUGGACCACAGUGCCUUCAGUGUUGUUACUAAAAGCUGGAUGCACAUUCUUCAUUCCCAAUAGGUUUGUGAGCUUUGUAAAUGUCAGUAUCAUUUUUCUUUCUCUUGAUGCUGGUGUUUAACAAGUUAAGGCAAGACAAAGCAAGAUUCAAGGAAGCCAAACUGGAGCUGUUCUGAAAUUGUUAUAAGAAGUUGCUUCAUGCUGUUGAGCUUUGCACAACAAAAAAAAAAUUAGGAAAGUUGUCCUGAAAACUUACCUUUUUCCUCUAUAUUUUCCCCAUGUGGUUCUCUAGUCAUUACCAAAAGAGUUAUUUUAAUUAUUUUCUUCCAAGCUUCUGGUCCAGUUCACGUUUCACCUAGACUGCAAUGAAUCAGGAGGUGCUCUUCAGUGUUGAAGUGACAGAAGUAUAAAAUCUUUGUAGGGUGACACAUCUUUGACAGAGCAGUAUGUCAGGUAACAAACAAUGGGAGAAGGCACUUUGAAGUGUGGGAGAUGGGUCCAUUUGCAUGUCUGUCUCUGACAAAAAAAAAAGCUGGUGGAGCUUGCAUACUGAAAGAUAUCACUUUAAUUCCCCAGUCUUGCAAAGAGCAACUGUUCCUCAAAUUCUACUGAAUAUGGUAAUUUCUGCUUUUUUUUAGGGAGAUUUAGACAAUUUAGAUGAGUACUACGUGACUCUUCUUUUCUGAAGAGUGUUUAUGACAGAUGUGUUUAUUCCUGCCUGUUCCUUGUCCAUUUUCCUGGCUAGUCCCUCUACCCUCCAAAAAACAGCCACCUUGGAAGUAAUAUGUAUGUACCCAGUGAAGGGCAAAGUAGGGCUAUUUCAUGUCUUCAGAGACUUGUGUUGGUCUGCCAAGCGUGUGGAUUCAUCCCUUCCACUCCUGUUCCCUUAAAUCUAGCUAACUCUUUGGGAUUUUCUGAAGAUCAUAGAAUCGUAGAAUCAUUAAGGUUGGAAAAGACCUCCAAGAUCACUGAUACUCUGAUUUUGCACGUGGGGUGGAUCAAGCAAGGCAAACCACAUUCAGAAGCUGGAGUCCAGAUGAGGUGUGCCUAUAAAUGACUAUUUCUGAAAAACAACUAUUUCUGAAGUUGCUGUGCUCUGAAACGUUCUUAUCUGACUUGAA